GAGAUUUCCAAUGCUAUGUUCCAAAUAGGGCCGUUGAAAGCGCCCGGACCCGAUGGUUUUCCAGCUAGAUUUUUUCAGCGACAUUGGGCGGUGUUCAAGAUUGAGAUUACAGCUGCUGUUAAGUUGUUUUUUGAUACAGGGGUGAUGCCUGAAGGAGUGAACACCACCACCAUUGUACUAAUCCCUAAGGUUGACACCCCAACUCGGCUCACAGAUUUCAGACCGAUUAGCCUCUGUAAUGUGAUUUAUAAGGUCAUUGCCAAGUGCCUAGUGAACAGGCUACGACCUAUGCUGGAUGAGCUUGUAUCCCCGGUGCAGAGCGCCUUUAUACCAGGGAGGCUAAUCAGCGACAACGCGUUAAUUGCCUUUGAGUGUUUUCAUGCAAUAAAACAGGAAAAGGAUCCAGAGCGGAGUUUUUGUGCGUACAAGUUGGACUUAUCGAAGGCAUAUGACAGAGUGGACUGGGUGUUCUUGGAGCGAAUGAUGCAACAGUUGGGUUUCUCUCAUCGGUGGGUGUCGUGGAUAAUGGAGUGUGUCACCUCGGUGAGAUAUAAUGUGAAAAUCAAUGGAGCCCUCUCGGAUUCAUUUGCGCCGUCCUGUGGGUUACGACAGGGAGACCCCAUCUCGCCUUUCCUAUUCCUUUUUGUCGCUGAUGGUUUGGAUGCUUUACUGAAACAGGAGAUUGAAGCUACCCGUAUCUCGCCGCUGCGUGUUUGCCCUCAAGCCCCGGGCAUCUCCCACCUCUUAUUC
rnacentral:rRNA from 1 species